rnacentral:lncRNA from 1 species
CUGAUUGAAGAUGAUGCCCCUAAGUUGUAUCGCAGAAAAUGAAGCAUGGCUCCUGAGGCUGCGCGCACCCCGGGCGAGGAGCAUCUCUCACCUGGACAGCGGGGAUCCAACUGCACUCAGGGCUCGCUUUGUUAAUCUUCCAAAUCCUUCAGGCCAGAGCACAAUCCCUUGCAGAGGCCUGAAUCAGAGCAUGAACAGGAAAUGAAGGGGAGAAGAGAGCCCCACUCAUUAAACUUUUCCUCUUAAUCAGGCCAGUACCAAACUUCUCGCCUGUAACUCUCAAAGCUCUCACCGAAUCAGGGUCUCGGAGAUGAGUAAAUGAAGGAGCUGAAAACAGUUGAGUGACUUGCCCGAGGUCACCCCCACCCUAAGUUUCUGGUCCCAACACCGCA